rnacentral:rRNA from 1 species
UGCAUCGAUGAAGAACGCAGCGAAAUGCGAUAAGUAGUGUGAAUUGCAGAAUUCAGUGAAUCAUCGAAUCUUUGAACGCACAUUGCGCCCCUUGGUAUUCCAUGGGGCAUGCCUGUUCGAGCGUCAUUUGUACCUUCAAGCUCUGCUUGGUGUUGGGUGUUUGUCUCCUGUAGACUCGCCUUAAAACAAUUGGCAGCCGGCGUAUUGAUUUCGGAGCGCAGUACAUCUCGCGCUUUGCACUCAUAACGACGACAUCCAAAAGUACAUUUUUACACUCUUGACCUCGGAUCAGGUAGGGAUACCCGCUGAACUUAAGCAUAUCAAUAAGCGGAGGAA